GCCCGCGGCCGGCGUCCUCCUCCACCCCACUCCCAGCGCCCUCACCCCCGCGUGACGCGGGGACGGCGGGGCGGCCAGCCAGGCGGCGGCCGCGGUGGGGCGCGACCCAGCUCCGCCGUGGCUCGCGGCGGCGAAGGGGUCGGCGGCGGUACCGCUGCGGAGGAUGAAUGGUGCUAGGGGGUCGCUGGCGGCUGCGAUUCUUGUGCGCGGCCGGUGCGGUGCCCCCUUCCCAGCCUGGCACGGAGACGUCGGCCGCAUUGUUUAUAUCUGAGCUCUUGUAGAUCCAAUUUUUAGUGGUGGAAACAUUACUUGAGGACUCAGAGAAGCAUUGUCAUUUGGAUUGAAACUGAAGAGGCUCUGGGCAACUCACCAGAAGUCUAAGGGACACUCUGUUCCUAAAAAGAAGAAAAAACUGGAUCACUUACCAGUAACUGGAGUUCUCCUAUUGGGUAAUCUCCACAGAUCCAC